GGAUUGAUUGAUUGCCACUCUGUCAUUCUGAGGGUUUGAUUGAGGCUUCAUGCUGUAUCACAUUGUGUUUGUUUUUAUGUGUGGGAUGUUUGUGUGGAAACGCGAAUGACAGAAGCUCAGAAAACUGGGUAUUUACUAAAUGAUCUGCUCUGCUGGAGUCACAUGUCUUCUGUCAUUCCCACUUUUAACUGUGCUGGGAUGCGUCUGCGAGCUCGCUCAUCACUAUUUUUGGGUAAUCUUCAUUGCAGUGUUGUCCAAAUCUUUAGGAUGCUGGAGGAGACAUGGUGACUGUAAUCUUCCAGUGUUGUUACAGUAUGUCUGCUGGGUCUAGAGCUUUAAAAUACACAUCUGUUCAUUCAAGAGAUUGUCUCCCCUCUGCUAGCCAUCUUCCCUGCCCCAAGCAGCUAUUACCAACACUGCCUUCCACUCCCAGACUCUUUAUUAUACAACUCUAUUAAUUAGCUUCAGUAUGAUAGAUGGUCCUACUCUGGUCUCUCUCUCUCUCUGAAUUAUUGAAGUUAAAAGAUUUUUACUCAAACGAACAAUUUACUGCAGUUUAAUCAGACCCGUCAGCUCAUUGCAAAUUCUAACUGUCCUACUAAUUACACAGAGUCCUUAAACAACAAAACCUUGUUCUGUAAAAAUCAGCCGUUUAUGGGGCAUUUUGUAUGUUUAAGUUUGUGAGAGUGGGCGGCCACUGAUGCAUGCUGGGAUAAUAUCCCAGUCUAAAAAAACAGGGUCUUCAGCAAAAAAUCUAAAAUAAAUAAAAAUAUGUCUCAGUCAACUAUUCACAUAUACAUUUCAACAAACAUGUUUCUUAAUUGGUGUAUUUCAUUUGAUAUGUUAUAAUACUAACUGAAUAUAAAAAUCAUUAUCUUUUCUUGUUUUCGUGUCUGUGUUUCUUUCCUCAACAGGAUAUGUACACAAGCGUGUGUGAUACUGGCCGGAUGUGUCCUAUCUGUUUAAACAUUGUGCAUUCUGUGAUGGGAGUGUUCGGGAGUAGAAAGGCUUUGUCUUCUAAGCUGUACUGAUAAUGCUGUAAUACUGUAUCUUGCAGUAUAGAAUUUAUAGUGCAUAAGUGGAUGUUAACUGCUACGUCAUUGACAGUAAUGGCUUCAUCAUGGUCUCUAAGGACAGGGAUGAUGUAAGAGCACUUAUAGUGACAGGUUAAAGUCAACAUGAAAUGGCAUUCACAACCCACUAAACAUCUGUAAUGACAUAUUUCUGAGUUGGCAGGUUUCUGGGGGAAACUGAUGGGUCGGUGAUGUCACAGCUCUUAAAAAUGGGCAUGUUCAUAAGGUAUGAGCACGUGAGGUGUACAUGCUGUCACUGCUUGUUUUCCACAGAGUGCUACUCUAUGACUAU